GCGAUAUCAAGCUUCAGGAAACAAGUUGUGCUGGUGAGUCUAUUCUAUGUUUUGGCAUUAGGCUUGCUGCUGUGUUUCUCAAGCAAGGCAGAUGGUGCAGUGCAUUGGUAGCUGGAAAAGUCCUGCAACAUUUGAUUGUAAAUUCCUUUUUCUUCUUGUUUUCGUUGGUUUUAUGUUAGUUUAAGUUUACAUUGUGGAAUAAUUACUGAUUACGGUGAUAUUCAAUGGACACAAUAAUAGAUGGUGUAUAUUUGAGAUAGCUUCCAG
rnacentral:misc_RNA from 1 species